GAACGAGCGAGAGAGAGCUUGCUUUCUCGAGCGAGUGGCGAACGGGUGAGUAACGCGUGAGGAACCUGCCUCAAAGAGGGGGACAACAGUUGGAAACGACUGCUAAUACCGCAUAAGCCCACGGCUCGGCAUCGAGCAGAGGGAAAAGGAGUAAUCCGCUUUGAGAUGGCCUCGCGUCCGAUUAGCUAGUUGGUGAGGUAACGGCCCACCAAGGCGACGAUCGGUAGCCGGACUGAGAGGUUGAACGGCCACAUUGGGACUGAGACACGGCCCAGACUCCUACGGGAGGCAGCAGUGGGGAAUAUUGCACAAUGGGGGAAACCCUGAUGCAGCGACGCCGCGUGGAGGAAGAAGGUCUUCGGAUUGUAAACUCCUGUUGUUGGGGAAGAUAAUGACGGUACCCAACAAGGAAGUGACGGCUAACUACGUGCCAGCAGCCGCGGUAAAACGUAGGUCACAAGCGUUGUCCGGAAUUACUGGGUGUAAAGGGAGCGCAGGCGGGAAGACAAGUUGGAAGUGAAAUCUAUGGGCUCAACCCAUAAACUGCUUUCAAAACUGUUUUUCUUGAGUAGUGCAGAGGUAGGCGGAAUUCCCGGUGUAGCGGUGGAAUGCGUAGAUAUCGGGAGGAACACCAGUGGCGAAGGCGGCCUACUGGGCACCAACUGACGCUGA
rnacentral:rRNA from 1 species